rnacentral:rRNA from 1 species
ACAGCAGCCGCCGCGGGAAUACGUAGGGUGCGAGCGUUAAUCGGAAUUACUGGGCGUAAAGCGGGCGCAGACGGUUACUUAAGCAGGAUGUGAAAUCCCCGGGCUCAACCUGGGAACUGCGUUCUGAACUGGGUGACUAGAGUGUGUCAGAGGGAGGUAGAAUUCCACGUGUAGCAGUGAAAUGCGUAGAGAUGUGGAGGAAUACCGAUGGCGAAGGCAGCCUCCUGGGAUAACACUGACGUUCAUGCCCGAAAGCGUGGGUAGCAAACAGGAUUAGAUACCCCGGUAGUCCCUGUCUCUUAUAC